rnacentral:rRNA from 1 species
AUGGUUGACACACUGAGUGAAGAGAAGAUCAUUGGAUACUUCAAGAACAAGAGCAUCCUCAUCACUGGAUCAACAGGCUUUCUUGGAAAGAUACUAGUGGAAAAGAUACUGAGAGUUCAACCUGAUGUGAAGAAGAUCUACCUCCCGGUGCGAGCGGUGGAUGCCGCUGCGGCGAAGCAUCGGGUGGAGACUGAGGUGGUAGGGAAGGAGCUGUUCGGGCUUCUGAGGGAGAAGCACGGGGACGGGUUUCAAUCUUUCAUCGGAGAGAAGAUCGUCCCGUUGGCCGGAGAUGUGAUGCGUGAGGACUUCGGCGUCGACAGCGAGACCUUGAGGGAGCUCCGGGUGACCCAAGAGCUCGAUGUCAUCGUUAAUGGCGCCGCCACCACCAACUUCUACGAAAGGUAUGAUGUGGCCCUGGACGUGAACGUGAUGGGAGUAAAGCAUAUGUGCAACUUCGCCAAGAAGUGCCCCAAUCUCAAGGUGCUCCUCCACGUUUCCACGGCUUAUGUGGCGGGUGAGAAGCAAGGACUGGUGCAAGAGAGACCAUUCAAGAAUGGCGAGACGCUGCUUGAGGGGACCCACCUCGAUAUCGACACCGAGCUGAGACUGGCCAAGGACCUGAAAAAGCAGCUUGAGGCCGACGUCGACUCGUCGCCCAAGGCCGAAAGGAAGGCCAUGAAGGACCUUGGCCUUACCAGGGCCCGGCACUUCGGGUGGCCGAACACAUACGUGUUCACCAAGUCGAUGGGGGAGAUGGUGCUGGGCCAGUUGCAGUGUGAUGUCCCUGUUGUCAUCGUCCGUCCCAGCAUCAUCACCAGUGUCCAGAACGACCCACUGCCCGGAUGGAUCGAAGGCACCAGGACGAUCGACACGAUCGUGAUCGGCUAUGCGAAGCAGAACCUGACAUACUUCUUGGCCGACCUCAACCUCACCAUGGAUGUGAUGCCCGGCGACAUGGUGGUGAAUGCGACGAUGGCUGCCAUCGUGGCACACAGCUCGUCCUCAUUGGAGAAGACAAAGCCAUAUCCCGAGCCACACGCACCGGCGGUGUACCAUGUGAGCUCGUCGCGGCGUAAUCCGGCACCAUACAAUGUGCUUCACGAGGCGGGGUUUCGGUACUUCACGGAGCACCCUCGGGUGGGCCCUGACGGCCGCACCGUGGGUACCCAUAAGAUGACAUUCCUCAGCAGCAUUGCUUCCUUCCACCUCUUUAUGAUGCUCAGGUACCGCCUCCUCCUCGAGCUCCUCCACCUGCUCUCCAUCCUCUGCUGCGGCCUCUUCGGCCUCGACACCCUCUACCACGACCAAGCACGCAAGUACAGGUUCGUGAUGCACCUGGUGGAUCUGUACGGGCCCUUCGCGCUGUUCAAGGGGUGCUUCGAUGACGUCAACCUAAACAAACUAAGGCUCACCAUGACCAGCAACCAUGGCAGCCUCUUCAAUUUCGACCCGAAGACCAUUGACUGGGAUGACUAUUUCUACAGGGUCCACAUCCCCGGGGUCAUAAAGUACAUGCUCAAGUGA